CACAGAGAGCUUGCUCUCGGGUGACGAGUGGCGGACGGGUGAGUAAUGUCUGGGAAACUGCCCGAUGAAGGGGAUAACUACUGGAAACGGUGGCUAAUACCGCAUAACGUCGCAAGACCAAAAGGGGGACCUUCGGGCCUCUCACUAUCGGAUGAACCCAGAUGGGAUUAGCUAGUAGGCGGGGUAACGGCUCACCUAGGCGACGAUCCCUAGCUGGUCUGAGAGGAUGACCAGCCACACUGGAACUGAGACACGGUCCAGACUCC
rnacentral:rRNA from 1 species